rfam:TPA: Bos taurus chromosome 3, whole genome shotgun sequence.
UCCCUGGUGGUCCAGUGGCUAUGACUCUGCUCUCUCAAUCAGGGGGCCCGGGUUCAAUUCCUGGUCAGGGAA